AAAUUGAAGAGUUUGAUCAUGGCUCAGAUUGAACGCUGGCGGCAGGCCUAACACAUGCAAGUCGAGCGGUAGCACAGAGAGCUUGCUCUCGGGUGACGAGCGGCGGACGGGUGAGUAAUGUCUGGGAAACUGCCUGAUGGAGGGGGAUAACUACUGGAAACGGUAGCUAAUACCGCAUAACGUCGCAAGACCAAAGUGGGGGACCUUCGGGCCUCAUG
rnacentral:rRNA from 1 species